rnacentral:lncRNA from 1 species
AAGCAAGAACCGCUAGCGGGAGACGCUCUCCAAGAGCGCUUUGCGGUGAUUCCGCUCUGGGCUCGUUUUGAACGGUGUGUGGCUCGCCAUGUUCAGAGAAGAUCGUGGUCCAAACCCCCAUUUUAUGAACAAAGAAACUGAGGCCCCGAGUUAAGUGCAGACUUGCCUAACGUGGCAGUCAAGAGAGGACGCCAAUGCUAACACGGUGGAGAGAGAAGUCCUAGCUCCGGGGCCGGAUUCUUUCCCCACCUACACCAGAAAGAACACUUUAAUUCCAAUGGAACUCCUGGCCCAGCCCGCGGGCGUGGGACACAGAACAGAGUCAGGUAGGCAGGAGAAAGCUUCCACACCCGAGACCGCCUGGACCUCAAGGAGGAGUUUUUCCGACAGUGCUGGAUGCAAAUUAAAUAUUUCCCUCCACUGGAGACUUAUCUCAGGGCACUGCCCCGCCCGUAUAUUCAAAUCGCUGGUUUGGGGUUUUGACUUCUGCUCCGCGCCGAGCGCGCGCGGGAAGCAGAGCUUGCCACCUGCUGCCUCCAGCUCCGCCAUCUUUCCUCCCUGAGUCUACCUCACCUGCAUCCCAGGCUCCUGGUCAUCUCUUGUUAUUGUUCUCCCGCCUUCCUGCAAACUUAACUCUUAGCUGCUUGACCGGCUUAGAAGAAGGAACGGCAUAUUCUCGGGCCCUGUCCCUCAUACUUAGGCUGAGUCCACCAGGGGCAAGGAGCAUCCAGCCUAGUCACCUCUCAGGACAUGCCCUAUUGGUCCACAGCACAGAAUGGCAUCUCCUUUGGGUCAGUACAGUGUCCCAGAACCAUGUCACUAAUACUCCUCAUUUAGGAGCUAAAAGGAUGCUGCUCCGGCCCUCCACCCGCGGCAGUGGGAUCCUGGAUGGCGGCCAUAGAAUUUCGUCUUGCCAAGUGAUAUGGACAUCACACUAAAGGAAGAUAAGCCACAGCUGUGUGUUCCCAGCUCCCGCUCACCACUGUUUCAAACUUCGAUAAUACUGAAGAAUUCUUCAAAAUCUCACUUUAGGCUCUAGACAGCCAAGACCACUCGGAGAGUCUGCUCAAGUACCCAGACUUCAACUGCCUCCAGACCUUCUUCCCCACAGCUUGGAUUUUUCCCUCUUCCGAAACACUGGGAUAGAAUGCUGCUGAGUGAGCCUACAGAGCAAUGGAUGACAGAAUCAUUUCUUUUCAGACUUGCUAUGCCCCACUAGCAAUGGCAUGAUUCUUGUUUUAUGCAGUGAUUUGGAAACAUGGUCCCUUAUACUCCAGGUACUGGGAUCACAGUCAUGAAUCACCAAGAUUUUUUGUCUUAAAAUGUUGCUCAGGCUAGUCUUGAACUCAAGAUGGUCUUUCUGCCUUAGUGCUGAGUGUGCCAUCAUGCUCAGCAAAUGCACGGCCAAUUUUAUUUUCUAGCGCUAUGGGUGUUAUUAUGCAGGCAUCUGUACUGGCCUGCCCAUGAG